GUAUGGUAAAAACAUGGCCUUUAUAUAGACCCUUUACUGAUUUUAUUACAUAGAUCCCAUUAAAGUCGCUUAAAAUUGUACAAUAAUUUUACAUUUAACGUGAAUAAAGAUCUGGCACCAUGCCUUUUUAGUAAAUGAUUUUCCAUACUAUUCCUAAGACAUAUCUAUCGUCAAUAAAUCAAAAUCACAAUGCACAUAUUCAUGUAAUAGUUAAAGAAUCCACCAUUGUGAAGUUACAUUUCACCCGAUUAAAUAUAAAUGAAGUGCAAGUACUUGUUUAUUUUGAUUAAUAUGAUACAGUGUUGUGUGGUUCUUCAAGCGUUGUCUUUCUCAUAUAUGAAGCACUGCAUGAUAAAUAAUUGUCACACAGCAAAAAUCUAUACAAAUACAUUAUAUCAAGGAAAAACAAACUUGAAUCUACAACUACAGCUCAAAUGUAAAACUUUUAUUAUUGCAAAGGAUUCAAAUGCAAGCAAAGCAAUGCAAACAGAAAUGCAGAAUGGCAGUCACUCAAUCUGUUGCAAGCAAUGACUUUCAAACAGCAAGUGCUAACGAGGCCAAACACGCGGAACACAAGUCCAACGCUGAAACUGCUGGAAAAGAACAAUAAAAAAGAUACAGCCUUUAAACAUCUAAACAUGUCCUCCAAAAAGGAAAAAGGGAAAAACACUGGAAAACAAUUUCAGCCUAAGGUUUCCUGUGCUGUUUUGCUCCAUUUUACAGAACAAAAUAAGGCUGAGGUAGCACCAUCCUUGUGGUUGGAGUGAAAGAAUGUGGGUAUUGAGACCAAAAUAAAUAAUGUGCGAUUCUGGACAAACAGCUGUGGACAAUAUGCAGUCAGAGUAGCCUAUUUUCUUACACAGAUGAGGAGCAACCAGUAAGAAAAAGCAAAAAGAUGUUUUGAUGUUGCCUGAGGCACCUUAUUCACAUCAGUCAAUUUCUUCCAAUAAUGAAUCAAGG